rnacentral:rRNA from 1 species
AGAUUGAACGCUGGCGGCAUGCCUUACACAUGCAAGUCGAACGGCAGCACGGGAGCAAUCCUGGUGGCGAGUGGCGAACGGGUGAGUAAUACAUCGGAACGUGCCCAGUAGUGGGGGAUAACCCGGCGAAAGCCGGACUAAUACCGCAUACGACCUACGGGUGAAAGCAGGGGAUCGCAAGACCUUGCGCUAUCGGAGCGGCCGAUGUCAGAUUAGCUUGUGGACGGGGUAAAAGCCCACCAAGGCGACGAUCUGUAGCUGGUCUGAGAGGACGACCAGCCACACUGGGACUGAGACACGGCCCAGACUCCGUACGGGAGGCAGCAGGUGGGAAUUUUGGACAAGUGGCGCAAGCCUAGACUCCAGCCAUCGCCGCGGUGGACGGGGAAGAACGGGCCUUCGGGUUAGUAAACCGGUC